rnacentral:rRNA from 1 species
CACGUAGGGACCAAGCGUUGUCCGGAUUCAUUGGGCGUAAAGAGCUCGUAGGCGGUUCGAUAAGUCGGGUGUGAAACCUCCAGGCUCAACCUGGAGACGCCACCCGAUACUGUCGUGACUAGAGUCCAGUAGGGGAGCGUGGAAUUCCUGGUGUAGCGGUGAAAUGCGCAGAUAUCAGGAGGAACACCAGCGGCGAAGGCGGCUCACUGGACCGUGUCUGACGCUGAGGUGCGAAAGCUAGGGUAGCGAACGGG